rnacentral:lncRNA from 1 species
CUUUGUUACUUCAAAGAUACUUCAAAGAUACAUUUUCCCUUUCUCCUUUUAGUGUUUUAAAAAUAUUUACUCAAUAGAUAUAUGAGGGCCCACUCUAUUGAAGGUGUUACAGAUAAUUUGUAAAAAGACAAACCAAUUCCCUCCCUGGAGGUGUUUACAUUCUAGUCAAAGGACAGAUAAUGAAUAAACAAAUACAUAUUAUUUCAUGUAAUAAUAAAUCCUAUGAAAAAAAAAAUUAAGCAGAUACAGGCCUGACUCAGAAGAAAUUCUUCACUCAGGAUCCCGAGGUGAUAUUUGAACACAAACUUUGCUGAUGUGAAGAAACAAGCAGUUGACUUGUGAGGCUGAAGCAAGGAGGAUUGUGAGUUAAAAGCCAGCCUUAGCAACUUAGAAAAGCCCUAAGCAACUCAUUGAGACCCUGUCUCUAAAUAAAAUAGAAAAAAGGGCUGGGGAUGUUGACUCAGUGGUUGAGUGCCCCUGGGUUCAAUCCCUGGUACAAAAAAAGAAAAGAAACAAGCAGUACCAAGAUCUGGGGAAAGAAAGAUGAUUCCCAGGAGGUAAUGACAGAUAUUAAGGGUCUUGGGGCAGAAUGGAGACAUUGAGGAAGAAUAAGACAACCAUUGGGACUAGAUAGAAAUAAGCAAGGAGAAGAAGAAUGGUAGCAUGUGGGAUUUGAGAAGUAGGUAGGGGCCAGAUCUCAAAGGACUCUUUAGAUCAAACUAAUAAGCAGAUUUUAUUGUAAAUAUGACUAAGUCAUUAGAGUUUUAUACAGAAGAUUAAAUAAAUCUAAUUUUAUAUUAAAGAUCAUUGACUAAUGUUGAGAAUAAGGGAAUAAAAAGCAGGUAGAAUAGUUGGAAAGCUACUGCAGACAGGAAGUAGCUCAGACUAAGGAGGCAGCAGAUCAGUUAUUAAAAAGUAGUCAGAUUUGGGAUAUAUUUUGCAAGUAUAACUCACCAGACACUGAUGUAUUGAAAGACAUGGAUGUGUUGAAUGUAGCAUUGCAGGAGGUAAUUAAAGUGACUCCUAGUUUUGGGCUAUAAAUAUCUAGGUGAAUGAUUGUGUUAAUUAUGGAAAAUACCCAAUUUUAUGAAUUUAUACAGUAAUAUCUUUUAGUAACCAAAACCUAAUAGCAUGCAAUAGUUGCUACUAACUUCAAGUCAGGAGACAUAAUGGCAAUUUCUAAGUAGACAUGAGCUUGGAAAUGCUACUAACUUUAGUGUAUCUUUCCUGCAGUGAUAUUUAUUAUGGACUGCUAAUGAUGAUUUUCUAUUUCCCUCAUUCCUUCUAUAUUUAUUUAUUAGAAUUAUUCUGUAAGAAAAAUUUGUCUCUACUACUUUAUUUAUUCAUUAGUUUACAUUAUAGACCCAUCAGUGUUUUAUUCUUUGGGUUAUAAUCCUUUGUUGUCAUUAAUUUGUUGCUCAUACUGUCCUCUAUCUUUGACCAUUGGAAAUUUUUCCACGUUAGUUCCUAUGUCCUUUUGACCUGCUCCUUUUUUUUUUUUUAGGCAGGGGGAGAUAUUGUCUAUGGGACUAUAUCUUUGUAAAUUAGCUGUGUACAACUAUAUAUUGAAAAGAGUUAGAAAAAUCCUUAGAGACCAUGUAAUUCAGUUUCGUGCCUUAGCUUGAAUCUUCAUUAAUUACCAGUCCUCUGUUCAGUUCUGUUUUAACAGUAAUAGAGGAGGAAAUAACUAGGGGGAAAAAAAAAAACCAUAGAGUUGAUAAAAACAUUGGUGGUUGCUAGUGACUAGAUAUGGGGGAUAGUGCAGAAGGGAGGAAGCUGAUCAAAACACAACAUGGAGGACCCAAAGGUGAUGGAACUUUUUAAAUAUCUUAACUGGCAGUGGAUAUGUAAAAUACACAUGCUAAAAUUUCAUUGAGCGAAAUGCACACAUGUGUAGGCACACACAAGUAUAAGUAAAACCGGAAGUUUGAAUCAAAUCUGAAUUAUUUCACUGUCAAUAUUCUGGUUAUGUUAUUGUGCUAUAGUUAUGCAAGAUAUUACCAUUUGGGGAAACUGGGGUAAAAGAUCACUCUGUACUGUUUCUUGCAAGAGCAUGUGAAUCCAUAAUUAUCUCAAUUUUUUAUUAAAAAUAAUUAGCUUGGUAAUGGAAUUUAGAACUUGUUUUACAUUGAUCUGAAGUCUAAUCCAUAUUCCACAUAACUCUUCAUCUAUUUAAAGAUAACAUUGAAACAGCAGCAUUGAAUAAACAUUACCAUAGUCCUCACUACCUCACCAUUUUCCAAACAAUAUUGUUUCAAAUUUCUCCCACUUUCCUAAUAAUUGUGCUCUAAAUUCAAUAGGCAAAGAGAUGUGACAUGAUUGUACUACCACUUCUUUUGUUCUCAAUGCUUUUUUUUCCUUCAGUGCAACCUAAUAUCACUUGCUAUUUUGAUAGCCAAAUAUCAUUGAUUCACUUUAAUAGUCACUAAAAUCUCACAUCUUCAGCAUGUAGUGCUAUUAAUGAAGGUUUUACCUUCAAAUGCUUAUUAAGUGGAUUUAGUAAACCAGGAAAUAUAACCAAAAAAAAAAAAAAAUGAACCUGGUAUUCAUGAAGACAACAACCCAGUCAGUCAGUAUAAAAGUCUAACAGUAUAGAAAAGACUAGUUCACAAAACAGUAACAUGGACAGUACCUGGUGUGGGUAAUAUUAGAGAGGCCUAGGGAAGGGGGAAAUAAGAAUAGCCUGGUGUCAAAAAGAAAAAUUGUGACACUUUGCAGGUUUUUAUUUCAGUUCUAAUUAAAAAUGAUUAAGCAAG